CUUGCAUCCUGCAGUCAGAAGAGGGCGCGGCGCACGUAAGCAUCUGUUUCAUAAGCCAACUACUAUAUCCGUCCUGGGCCGUCCGCUCAUUGCUCAUUCCUGCGGCUGGACCGUCAGUCGUCACAUCGUGUCAUAGCGUACACAUCUGCAGAAAGAAUACAAUAUCUAUAUACCAAAGCAAAACGAGACUGUCAUAUGUUAAGAAUGCGUUUGAAAGCAUUACCAGAAAGACAUUUACAGGAAAAAGAGGAGAUAAAAAGGUUACAAAUUUAUUUACAAUGUUAUUACAAAAAUUUCGAAGGUUAUAUUAAUGAAAUGUCUGAAGACUAUUAAAAAAAAAAAGUAAAUUGCUUACGUUUUUAAUGGAUGUAGAAGAAAAAGAAAUGAAGAAUCUGAAAAAUUACUUUUAGAAAAAUUACUAUUAGAAAAAUAAAAACUAUUAAACAAGAUGUAUUAGAUAAUAUUAUAUUAAUUUAAUUUCUGAAGAUUGUUAUGACAUAAUUUUGACAGAUACGUGAUAGAUAAAAAGAAUAAUUCUAAAGGAGUUUCGUGUUUUCUAUACAAUAUAUGAUAUAGAUAUAUGUUUAAUAUAUAAAUAAAAAUUGAUAUGUCAUAAA